UAUAGCUCAGUGGCACAGCACCUGCCUGGCAGGCAUGAGGUCCUGAGUUUGAUUCCCAGUA
rnacentral:tRNA from 1 species